AGCGAACGCUGGCGGCAGGCCUAACACAUGCAAGUCGAACGAACCUUUCGGGGUUAGUGGCGGACGGGUGAGUAACACGUGGGAACGUGCCUUUAGGUUCGGAAUAACUCAGGGAAACUUGUGCUAAUACCGAAUGUGCCCUUCGGGGGAAAGAUUUAUCGCCUUUAGAGCGGCCCGCGUCUGAUUAGCUAGUUGGUUGAGGUAAUGGCUCACCAAGGCGACGAUCAGUAGCUGGUCUGAGAGGAUGAUCAGCCACAUUGGGACUGAGACACGGCCCAAACUCCUACGGGAGUCAGCAGUGGGGAAUCUUGCGCAAUGGGCGAAAGCCUGACGCAGCCAUGCCGCGUGAAUGAUGAAGGUCUUAGGAUUGUAAAAUUCUUUCACCGGGGACGAUAAUGACGGUACCCGGAGAAGAAGCCCCGGCUAACUUCGUG
rnacentral:rRNA from 1 species